rnacentral:misc_RNA from 1 species
AACUUUCAGCAACGGAUCUCUUGGCUCUCGCAACGAUGAAGAACGCAGCGAAAUGCGAUAAGUAAUGUGAAUUGCAGAAUUCAGUGAAUCAUCGAAUCUUUGAACGCACCUUGCGCCCUUUGGCUAUUCCGAAGGGCAUGCCUGAUUGAGUAUCAUGAACACCUCAACUCUCACGGUUUCUCGUGAUGAGCUUGGACUUGGGGGUUUUGUUGGCCUGUGGUCAGCUCUCCUCAAAUGAAUUAGCUUGCCGGUGUCUGGCGGCAUCAUGGGUGUGAUAACAAUCUACGCUUGUGAUCGUCUGCGAGGUAAACCUCUGGUCUGCAGAGGUUCGCCGGAGCUUAUAGAUGUCUCUCCUCAGUGAAGACAGCUGUUUGAAGUUCGAUCUCAAAUCAGGUAGGACUACCCGCUGAACUUAAGCAUAUCAAUAAGCGGAGGCU